UAUUUAGUGAUGUUGAUGGAUGGCACCCUACCAUAAGUUAUUAUUUAAUGAUGGUCCUUGUACAUUUGCUGGAUGCAAUUACGAGACUCAAAGAAGUAUUAUUUGAAACUGUAGGAAUUGCUUGACUAACAAUGUAUGAAACGUGCCAUGUUUAUUAUUUUUUGUUUUAAUUACCUAUUUACUCUGUCAAAGGUAUGAGAACA
rnacentral:lncRNA from 1 species